AGUGAACGCUGGCGGCAGGCCUAACACAUGCAAGUCGAGCGGCAGCGGGAAAGUAGCUUGCUACUUUUGCCGGCGAGCGGCGGACGGGUGAGUAAUGCCUGGGGAUCUGCCCAGUCGAGGGGGAUGACUACUGGAAACGGUAGCUAAUACCGCAUACGCCCUACGGGGGAAAGCAGGGGACCUCCGGGCCUUGCGCGAUUGGAUGAACUCAGGUGGGAUUAGCUAGGUGGUGAGGUAACGGCUCACCAAGGCGACGAUCCCUAGCUGGUCUGAGAGGAUGAUCAGCCACACUGGAACUGAGACACGGUCCAGACUCCUACGGGAGGCAGCAGUGGGGAAUAUUGCACAAUGGGGGAAACCCUGAUGCAGCCAUGCCGCGUGUGUGAAGAAGGCCUUCGGGUUGUAAAGCACUUUCAGCGAGGAGGAAAGGUUGGUAGCUAAUAACUGCCAGCUGUGACGUUACUCGCAGAAGAAGCACCGGCUAACUCCGUGCCAGCCGCCGCGGUAAUAC
rnacentral:rRNA from 1 species